ACGAUUCUGACGUGGCAAAUAGUCAAAUCAAACUUUGCCACGUAUCAAUAAAGAAAAAAACAAGACACGUUGGCACCAUAUCCCCACCUUUGUUAUCUCUGUAUCAAGCUACAAGAAAGAUGACCAUGGCAAAACUUCGAGACCACCGGAAAAGAUAGAGUUGAUCCGGAGUUUAUCGGGAAUUAACAACCAACUAUGAAAAGUAUAGUCCCAUCAGCAGAUGGUUGCUACUUAGACAGCACACCAGGGGGUUGCCCUGAUAAAAUUGCAUGUGGUGAAACUUGUAGACCAUGCUACAGAGGCAUUGGUCAAGUGUACACUUAUUGUGUAGCUCCAACUGUACUUCCUUAUUGGAUUUGCCGCUGUGAAUUUAAGAAUGGAGCACCUUGUCAACCAGUCGGACCACCUGCUUGUCCCAAACCCCCCGCAACAUCUCGUUCUCUCAAUCAAUUUUUAGGCUUCUACGAGGAUACAUCCGCCAUCAUCCCGCCUGACGCUAUUGUUUUCGGAAACAUCACUGAAGUCGAAUCGCCUGCUCUGAUAGCAUGAGAAAUUAGAGUUUUUUUCUUAAUACAGAAUAUGAAUGUUUAACAUAGUAUUGAGCAAAAAUGAGUGUGAGUUUUGCAAAUUUGGAUCUGCCUAGCUAUUCCGUUAGAAAUACAA